UACGUAGGGGGCAAGCGUUGUCCGGAAUCAUUGGGCGUAAAGCGCGUGUAGGCGGCUUCGUAAGUCCGUUGUGAAAGUCCAGGGCUCAACCCUGGAAUGCCGAUGGAUACUGCGGAGCUAGAGUCCGGAAGAGGCGAGUGGAAUUCCUGGUGUAGCGGUGAAAUGCGCAGAUAUCGGGAGGAACACCAAUGGCGAAGGCAGCUCGCUGGGACGGUACUGACGCUGAGGCGCGAAAGCGUGGGGAGCAAACAGG
rnacentral:rRNA from 1 species